UACGUAGGGCGCAAGCGUUGUCCGGAAUUAUUGGGCGUAAAGAGCUCGUAGGCGGUUUGUCGCGCCUGCUGUGAAAACCUAAGGCUCAACCUUGGGCUUGCAGUGGGUACGGGCAGACUAGAGUGCGGUAGGGGUGACUGGAAUUCCUGGUGUAGCGGUGAAAUGCGCAGAUAUCAGGAGGAACACCGGUGGCGAAGGCGGGUCUCUGGGCCGAUACUGACGCUGAGGAGCGAAAGCGUGGGGAGCAAACAGG
rnacentral:rRNA from 1 species